rnacentral:rRNA from 1 species
UACGAAGGGUGCAAACGUUGCUCGGAAUUAUUGGGCGUAAAGCGUGCGCAGGCGGUUUUGUAAGUCAGAUGUGAAAUCCCCGGGCUUAACCUGGGAACUGCGUUUGAAACUACAAGGCUAGAGUGUGACAGAGGGGGGUGGAAUUCCACGUGUAGCAGUGAAAUGCGUAGAGAUGUGGAGGAACACCGAUGGCGAAGGCAGCCCCCUGGGUUAACACUGACGCUCAGGCACGAAAGCGUGGGGAGCAAACAGG